AGUGUGUUCACUCCUUCAUGAACAUCAACAAGUUGAAAGGAUGUCUCCAUCUUAUUUUCUCUUCAUUUGUAUGGCUGCUGUUGCAGUUAAAGAAGAUUGUGCAGAUUCUGUCCCUACUCCCACCAUUGUGUUAGACCCUGGGUACAUCAAUGUAGCUAUGCCUGUCGUAGUUCGCUGUGAGUCAACAGGAGGCACAAAGUGCCAAUUCUACAAAGACCACGACCCCAACCCAAUAAGAGAAGUAAAUUCCGGUGUUUGCCAAUUCAUAUUGUUCUGGAAUGAGUUCAAAAAGUGGAACAAGACUGAAGUAGAUCUCAGCUGUGCUAUUCUACAGAAGGGAGAAGGAAAAAUAAUCCCAAAAUUUAGUGACGCUCGAAGACUUCAUGUAAGUGAUUCCAUUGGAAUACCCAGGAUUUUUGUGGAAAAUACAGG
rnacentral:lncRNA from 1 species